UGUAAAAGAGGAUUAAGCUUUUGGGGACUUCCUUGCAAACUCCUGCUCUAGCGUAUUCAAUUUGAUACUUAGGGGGUUCCAAACCUUUUUUUAGGAAGAGGUGGGUAGUUAUAAAUCAAUCGUAUUAUUCUUUCCCACUGAGUCCUUUAGGGUUAGUGUUUGGGUCCACACUGGCUCACUGGCAGCACUCCAUGCCAGCCUCGAGCACAGAGGAGUGGUUCCCUGCCUGUGGCUCUCCUGGUGGGUCAGAUGGGACAUCUCCCAGGCUGCAGAGCCUCGGGGGACCCAUCCGCCGACCUUGAGCAGCCGCAUCGUUACAUUAUUUACCCACAGGCCAAGUCUGUUCACAGAGUGACUCCAAGGAGCCUUGCCCGUGUUGACACCAGCGUUGGCCGGACCAUCGCCGGUUCCAGCCUCCAGCCAGGGUUACCAGGAGGAUAGGGACUGGUCCGCUUCCUCUCUUGCCCCUGCCUGCUGCUGCUCACGACUGAAGCUGAAGGAGAUACACAGAUAUGGAUACGGGACCAGGUCUUGCUAACCUUGGCGUCUCAUCUUUGCCCGUGAUCAUUGUGAAGGACUGAUCAUGAUAUUUGUGUUUCUGGAUCUCACUAUAUCAGAGCUGGACCCCAGGACUUCAUAGUCAAGUAAACCAAUAAAUCCCUUCUUUGCUUAAACUAA